rnacentral:rRNA from 1 species
AGAGUUUGAUCAUGGCUCAGGAUGAACGCUAGCGGCAGGCCUAACACAUGCAAGUCGAGGGGUAUAUGCUUUCGGGUAUAGAGACCGGCGCACGGGUGCGUAACGCGUAUGCAAUCUACCUUUUACAGGGGAAUAGCCCAAAGAAAUUUGGAUUAAUGCCCCAUGGUAUAUUUUAGUGGCAUCACUAUAUUAUUAAAGUUCCAACGGUAAAAGAUGAGCAUGCGUCCCAUUAGUUAGUUGGUAAGGUAACGGCUUACCAAGACGAUGAUGGGUAGGGGUCCUGAGAGGGAGAUCCCCCACACUGGUACUGAGACACGGACCAGACUCCUACGGGAGGCAGCAGUGAGGAAUAUUGGACAAUGGGCGCAAGCCUGAUCCAGCCAUGCCGCGUGCAGGAAGACGCAUCUAUGGUGUGUAAACUGCUUUUGUACGGGAAGAAACACUCCUACGUGUAGGAGCUUGACGGUACCGUAAGAAUAAGGAUCGGCUAACUCCGUGCCAGCAGCCGCGGUAAUACGGAGGAUCCAAGCGUUAUCCGGAAUCAUUGGGUUUAAAGGGUCCGUACGCGGUUUAAUAAGUCAGUGGGUGAAAUCUGGUCGCUCAACGAUCAAACGGCCAUUGAUACUGUUAGACUUGAAUUACAAGAAGUAACUAGAAUAUGUAGUGGUAGCGGUGAAAUUGCUUAGAUAUACAUGAAUACUGAUGCGACGCAGUUACUACUUUGUUGAUCGACGCUGAUGACGAAAGCGUGGAGGAGCGAACAUGAUACAUACCCUUGUAGUCCACGCAGUAACGAUGAUACUAGCUGGUAGCCAGCCAUCUCGAUGACUAAGCGAAGUGAUAGUUCUAGCUUGAGGAUACCGUUCGCAGAUGCACUGAAUACUGACGGGCUCGCAAUGCGAUGCAUUCAUGUGCUA